rnacentral:rRNA from 1 species
UUAAGAUACUAAGAGCAUACGGUGGAUGCCUUGGCGAUAUCUGCCGACGAAGGACGUGACAAGCUGCGAAAAGCUGCGGAGAGAUGCAAAUAAUCGGCGACCCGCAGACAUCCGAAUGGAGCAAUCCGGCUGUGAUGAUGCACAGCCAUCUAUGCCCAAGAGCAUGAGAAGGGAACCGGGCGAACUGAAACAUCUAAGUAGCCCGAGGAAAAGAAAUCAAACGAGAUACCCCAAGUAGCGGCGAGCGAACAGGGAAGAAGCCCAAACCGGUGAAGGAAACUUUACCGGGGUUGAGGACCAUCAGACCCGCGAAGAACUUUAGCCGAAACUGUUGGGAAACAGUGCCAAAGACAGUGAAAGCCUGGUAGGCGAAAAAGAGAAACGCGGAGAUGGCACCAGAGUACCGCGGGACACGAGAAAUCCCGUGGGAAGCAGGGGGGACCACCCUCCAAGGCAAAACACAGAUAUCGACCGAUAGCGCAUAGUACCAUGAGGGAAAGGUGAAAAGCACCCCGGGAGGGGAGUGAAAGAGAACCUGAAACCGUAUGUUUACAAGCAGUCGGAGACCGCUUAAUAAUAAGGUCGACGGCGUGCCUAUUGAAGAAUGAACCGGCGAGUUACGAAGCCUGGCAAGGUUAAGCAGGAAAUGCGGAGCCGAAGCGAAAGCGAGUCUUAAGAGGGCGCAAGUCAGGAAGCGUAGACCCGAAACCACAGUGAUCUACCCAUGUCCAGGUUGAAACACAGGUAAAAAUGUGUGGAGGACCGAACCUAUAUCCGUUGAAAAGGGUUAGGAUGAGGUGUGGGUAGGGGUGAAAUUCCAAUCGAACGUGGAGAUAGCUGGUUCUCCCCGAAAUAGCUUUAGGGCUAGCCUCAGGGAAAAGAUUGCAGGCGGUAGAGCACUGAUCAGGAGAGGGACCUACCCGGUUACCAAACCCAGUCAAACUCCGAAUGGCUGCAAUCAUACCUGGGAGUCAGACUGCGACUAAUAAGGGCCGCAGUCAAAAGGGAAACAGCCCAGACCAUCAGCUAAGGUCCCCAAUGCCGUGCUAAGUGGCGAAGGAUGUGGCAUUUCAUAAACAACCAGGAUGUUGGCUCAGAAGCAGCCACCAUUUAAAGAGUGCGUAAUAGCUCACUGGUCGAGAGACGCUGCGCCGAAAAUGUCCGGGGCUCAAGCACGGAACCGAAGCUAUGGCAUGAUAGCAAUAUCAUGGGUAGGGGAGCGUUCUUAUAAGGAAGAAGCAUGACCGGAAGGACAUGUGGACGAAUAAGAAGUGAGAAUGCCGGUAUGAGUAUCGAAAAGAAAGGUGAGAAUCCUUUCCACCGAAAGCCCGAGGGUUCCUGAGCAACGAUCGUCGACUCAGGGUAAGUCGGGACCUAAGCCGAGGCGAGAAGCGUAGGCGAUGGACAACAGGUUGAAAUUCCUGUACCGGAUCAAGUCGAUUGAGCGAAGGAGCGACGCAGGAGGGCACAUGAUCGCGCGGCUGGAAGAGCGCGUCCAAGUGCGUAUGUUGCUGCAGAGGAAAACCCCUGCGGCUGAAAGCAGAGACAUGAUGGGGAGUUAAAGGAAACUUUGACGAACUCAUGAAUCCCACACUGCCAAGAAAAACUUCUAGCGAGACAAGAUCCGCCCGUACCGUAAACCGACACAGGUAGGCGGGGAGAGAAUCCUAAGGUGCGCGGGAAAACCCUCGUUAAGGAACUCGGCAAAUUGCAUCCGUAACCUAGGGAGAAGGAUGGCCCCCGGUCAGUGAAGAGCAGAAACGCUCAGAGCUAAAAGGGGCGGCAGAAAAGAGGCCCAAGCAACUGUUUACCAAAAACACAGGUGCCUGCGAAAGCGAAAGCUGAAGUAUAGGUGCUGACGCCUGCCCGGUGCCGGAAGGUUAAGGAGAGAAGUUAGCGAAAGCGAAGCAUUGAACUGAAGCCCCGGUGAACGGCGGCCGUAACUAUAACGGUCCUAAGGUAGCGAAAUUCCUUGUCGGGUAAG